rnacentral:rRNA from 1 species
UACGUAGGGGGCCAGCGUUGUCCGAAGUUACUGGGCGUAAAGAGCGCGUAGGCGGGUCUUUAAGUGAGGGGUGAAAGGUUCAGGCUCAACCUGGACACUGCCUUUCAUACUGGAGAUCUUGAGUACAGGAGAGGCGAGUGGAAUGGUCGGUGUAGCGGUGAAAUGCGUAGAUAUCGAUCGGAACACCCAUGGCGAAGGC